CGCAGAUUGUGGUGCUGUCCCUCUCAGCCUUGGACGUCUUUCUUUGCAUCACUGCAUAUGGUGAAAUGCAAUUGCGCAUGGAUUUCCUGGGGAUGGAAAUUCCCAUGAAACGAUGGCUGGAAGUCAAGACCAGGAAGACCUGGAACUGGGAGAGAUCCACCUGUCUCCGUCUCCAGAGUGCUGGGAUUAAAGACAUGUGCCACCACAUCUGACCUAAGGAGUUCCCAGUCUGAACAGAGAGAAGACAGAAGACUUUGGCAAGUGGAAGAUUCAGUUACAAUGAACCAAGCAUUACAGGAGAAAGGCCAGGAUAGCAAACUGUUAAAUGUGGACAUCUUCCGUGUUCCUUUUUCUAGACACCCAGUGCUGAAUGAGUGGCAAGUCUCACAAAAGAAAAAAAAAAUGUUUUGGCCUCUCCUUGACACUGUUCUGCCCGAAAGCUUGAUAUCAAACAAACAUUGCUAGGUCAUUGUCACGUGACUGCUCUCUAAAGGCCACUGAGAGGGAGCAGAGUAUUAUUUACUGUAAAUCAAUCAGUAUGUGUUUAUCCCUCCAAACAUUCAUCUUCCAUGGGUAAAGAGGAGGCACUGAUGACACCUGAGAGCUGAGGAAUUGAAAUAAACAGGAGGUGAGAGGCAGAGCAACCCCUCCAUUCGAAAAGGCCUCUGGUGUGGUUUCCUGAAGGAGAGAGAGGCCGGGUUCCCAAUGCAGCUAUCCAAGUGUCCAGACUGUCGGUGGGAAAAAUCAGGAUUAUGUCAUCUAGUCCAUAGAACGCCAGUGCCACUAGGAGAAAAACCCCCCAAUUAAUUGGGAAGAGUGACAUUUUCAUUAAAAUUCUUUUAGAAAAUGUUUA
rnacentral:lncRNA from 1 species